GAUAGCUCAGUUGGUAGAGCACGAGACUCUUAAUCUCAGAGUCAUGGGUUCAAGCCCUAUGUUGGACA
rnacentral:tRNA from 1 species